UACGUAGGGACCAAGCGUUGUUCGGAUUUACUGGGCGUAAAGGGCGCGUAGGCGGCGUGGUAAGUCACUUGUGAAAUCUCUGAGCUUAACUCAGAACGGCCAAGUGAUACUGCUGUGCUAGAGUGCAGAAGGGGCAAUCGGAAUUCUUGGUGUAGCGGUGAAAUGCGUAGAUAUCGAGAGGAACACCUGCGGCGAAGGCGGGUUGCUGGGCUGACACUGACGCUGACAGCGCGAAAGCUAGGGGAGCGAACGGG
rnacentral:rRNA from 1 species